rnacentral:rRNA from 1 species
ACGAACGCUGGCGGCGUGCCUAAUACAUGCAAGUAGAACGCUGAAGGAAGGAGCUUGCUCUUUCUGGAUGAGUUGCGAACGGGUGAGUAACGCGUAGGUAACCUGCCUGGUAGCGGGGGAUAACUAUUGGAAACGAUAGCUAAUACCGCAUAAAAUUGAUUAUUGCAUGAUAGUCAAUUAAAAGGUGCAACUGCACCACUACCAGAUGGACCUGCGUUGUAUUAGCUAGUUGGUGGGGUAACGGCUCACCAAGGCGACGAUACAUAGCCGACCUGAGAGGGCGAUCGGCCACACUGGGACUGAGACACGGCCCAGACUCCUACGGGAGGCAGCAGUAGGGAAUCUUCGGCAAUAGACGGAAGUCUGACCGAGCAACGCCGCGUGAGUGAAGAAGGUUUUCGGAUCGUAAAGCUCUGUUGUAAGAGAAGAACGAGUGUGAGAGUGGAAAGUUCACACUGUGACGGUAUCUUACCAGAAAGGGACGGCUAACUACGUG